rnacentral:lncRNA from 1 species
CCAACUGGACCAUGGAUACAAGGCCCACAUCCUUGUGAUGUCAGGGUGCUGAGUUGGGAGGAACUUGGGUCCCUGGAAGCCUUGAGCAGGAGGCUCACCCCGGCUCUGUACCAUCCACCUCAACUUUAUUGGGAUGAAACUAACUUUUCUCUUGUUACUUUUGGUUUUUGCUUUUAUUUUGCACCAAAUGAUACAGUAUUUAGUAGGCAGGAGACACUGUGUAAAACUCUUGUCUGGGCGUGGUGGCUUAUGCCUGUAAUCCCAGCACAUUGGGAGGCCAAGGCGGGCGGAUGAUGAGGUCAGGUGUUCGAGACCAGCCUGGCCAAUAUGGUAACACCUCGUCUCUACUAAAAAUACAAAAGUUAGCUGGGCGUGGUGGCGGGCACCUGUAGUCCCAGCUACUUGGGAGGCUGAGGCAGAAGAAUCGCUUGAACCAGGGAAGUGGAGGUUGCAAUGAGCCAAGAUCGUACCAGUGCACUCCAGCCCGGGCGACAGAGCAAGACUCCGUCUCAAAACAACAACAACAACAACAACAACAACAACUCCAAGAGGCCUAUGAGGUCUUUCCUGAGCACACAGAAGAUCAAGACCACACUCACUGACUUCUCAUAGUCAAGCAAUUUUGGCCAAUUAAAUGUCAGUUGGAAACUCCUGUGUCAGCUUCUCUGUGGCGGUGAGAAGUCCCUGUGUGACAUCCCAACUCUCCCCUCACCUGCGUUGGCAACCAAGAAAGCCUUGUGUUGGAGGUGGGGCCACAAGUUUAAAGCUAAGUUACCACCUCGAGGGCACAUUCCUGGAGAGCUUCCCAGGCCCACAGUGGCACGUGUAUGAGUGACAGAUCCACUUCUUUAUUACCUUUUUGAAGAACAGGAACCUUUGUCUGGAAAUUCCACAAGUAUGCCUUUUGCAAGAUUAAAAGUGCCACAAAGAACAAAAAUGAGCCCAGGACCAGAUGCAUGUUAAAAGCCAUCAGACACGUUAAGUUUCAUCUCCAUUGACCUGAAGGAGUCUCUCACCACAGCCACCACAUCUAUGCAUGUGCUGAGUCACAUGUGAAGCCAGCACAUCUCAGAGUCUCACCGAAAGCUCAUGGGACUAUUUGGUUUCUAUUCUACUUCUGGCCUUUCAUAUUCCUGAUGGUGCAUUGGAUGAAACCCCGCAGCCAGGCGUGUGAACGUGGUUGAAAAGACCCAUGGAGGACCAGCAACGCUUCCCCACAGCGUGGGAUGGUCCCCUCCUGAGAUGGCCCACUGUCAGCGGGACUGACGCCAAGCACUGCAUCCUGUCUGCUUCUUGAACAGCCCCUUCAUUGUUUGUUCAGCUAUUCUGCUGCAUCUGCAGAUAGCCCUGCCUGAGAAACAGCCUCAAACCAGAAGGAGAGGAUGGCGGCAAGCCUUAGAGAAACAUAGCCAGUUGGAGUGUGAGGCUUCAGAAUCGCCUUCCAACUCUCUGUGCACUGCACCAGCUGCUUCCCAUAGACUCCUGGUAAAAUAUAGAGCGGAAGGAAGAAGAGCCACUACCCAUAACAUCAGUGGCUGCUAACUAAGGAGUGUUUUGACAUGCUGGUACAGCCUAUCCUCAGCUUUCCAGAAGGUGGAAUCUUGUGAUAGUGGAAAGAAGUAGAAGAGAUGAAGUACCUAUGACUCCAGGAUUUGCCAGUGAAAGAAGUCAACAAUAUUUUAACUUUGAUCUUAACCAAAAGGCCAAGAAGUGAUGCUAAUAUUUUCAUAUACUACGACAGUUGCAGACACACGUCUAUCAUAGCUGGGUAGUAAUCCAGGCAACUCUGCCACAAGUCAUGGGCUCAGCCACCAGUCCACGAAGUCUCCAGUCACACAUAUUGCUUCGGACUAUUCUCUAUCCCCAGUUGUCAAUUAACUAAAAUAUUAAAUGAGCUCCUUCCAGUUGGCUGAGAUUUAAAGGAUGGUUGGAGAUCCAGCAGCCAUCUUGGACCAUGAGGUGAAUCAUGAUGAAGCAAAAUGACAGAAAGAGCCAAGAUCCUUGUCCUGUGGAAAGCAAUACAG